GGAGGGUGCGAGCGUUGUCCGGAAUCACUGGGCGUAAAGGGCGCGUAGGUGGCCCGUUAAGUGGCUGGUGAAAUCCCGGGGCUCAACUCCGGGGCUGCCGGUCAGACUGGCGAGCUAGAGCACGGUAGGGGCAGAUGGAAUUCCCGGUGUAGCGGUGGAAUGCGUAGAUAUCGGGAAGAAUACCAGUGGCGAAGGCGUUCUGCUGGGCCGUUGCUGACACUGAGGCGCGACAGCGUGGGGAGCAAACAGGAUUAGAUACCCUGGUAGUCCACGCCGUAAACGAUGGACACUAGACGUCGGGGGGAGCGACCCUCCCGGUGUCGUCGCUAACGCAGUAAGUGUCCCGCCUGGGGAGUACGGCCGCAAGGCUG
rnacentral:rRNA from 1 species